UACGUAGGGCCCGAGCAUUAUCCGGAAUUAUUGGGCGUAAAGAGCGUGUAGGUGUUCCCCCAAGUCGGUCGUUAAAUCUCAGAGCUCAACUCUGAGGCUGCGAGCGAAACUGUGGGAAUUGAGAUUUACAGGGGCAAGCAGAAUUUCUGGAGUAGGGGUGAAAUCCGUUGAUACCAGAAGGAAUACCAAUGGCGAAGGCAGCUUGCUGGGUAACAUCUGACACUGAGACGCGAAAGCGUGGGGAGCAAACAGG
rnacentral:misc_RNA from 1 species